rnacentral:rRNA from 3 species
GGUUAAGCGACUAAGCGUACACGGUGGAUGCCCUGGCAGUCAGAGGCGAUGAAGGGCGUGCUAAUCUGCGAUAAGCGCCGGUAAGGUGAUAUGAACCGUUAUAACCGGCGAUACCCGAAUGGGGAAACCCAGUGUGACUCGUCACACUAUCAUUAACUGAAUCCAUAGGUUAAUGAGGCGAACCGGGGGAACUGAAACAUCUAAGUACCCCGAGGAAAAGAAAUCAACCGAGAUUCCCCCAGUAGCGGCGAGCGAACGGGGAGGAGCCCAGAGCCUGAAUCAGCAUGUGUGUUAGUGGAAGCGUCUGGAAAGGCGCGCGAUACAGGGUGACAGCCCCGUACACAAAAGCGCAUGUGCUGUGAGCUCGAUGAGUAGGGCGGGACACGUGGUAUCCUGUCUGAAUAUGGGGGGACCAUCCUCCAAGGCUAAAUACUCCUGACUGACCGAUAGUGAACCAGUACCGUGAGGGAAAGGCGAAAAGAACCCCGGCGAGGGGAGUGAAAAAGAACCUGAAACCGUGUACGUACAAGCAGUGGGAGCACAGGUUUACCUGUGUGACUGCGUACCUUUUGUAUAAUGGGUCAGCGACUUAUAUUCUGUAGCAAGGUUAACCGUAUAGGGGAGCCGGAGGGAAACCGAGUCUUAACCGGGCGUUAAGUUGCAGGGUAUAGACCCGAAACCCGGUGAUCUAGCCAUGGGCAGGUUGAAGGUUGGGUAACACUAACUGGAGGACCGAACCGACUAAUGUUGAAAAAUUAGCGGAUGACCUGUGGCUGGGGGUGAAAGGCCAAUCAAACCGGGAGAUAGCUGGUUCUCCCCGAAAGCUAUUUAGGUAGCGCCUCGUGAAUUCAUCUCCGGGGGUAGAGCACUGUUUCGGCUAGGGGGCCAUCCCGGCUUACCAACCCGAUGCAAACUGCGAAUACCGGAGAAUGUUAUCACGGGAGACACACGGCGGGUGCUAACGUCCGUCGUGAAGAGGGAAACAACCCAGACCGCCAGCUAAGGUCCCAAAGUCAUGGUUAAGUGGGAAACGAUGUGGGAAGGCCCAGACAGCCAGGAUGUUGGCUUAGAAGCAGCCAUCAUUUAAAGAAAGCGUAAUAGCUCACUGGUCGAGUCGGCCUGCGCGGAAGAUGUAACGGGGCUAAACCAUGCACCGAAGCUGCGGCAGCGACACUGUGUGUUGUUGGGUAGGGGAGCGUUCUGUAAGCCUGUGAAGGUGUGUCGUGAGGCAUGCUGGAGGUAUCAGAAGUGCGAAUGCUGACAUAAGUAACGAUAAAGCGGGUGAAAAGCCCGCUCGCCGGAAGACCAAGGGUUCCUGUCCAACGUUAAUCGGGGCAGGGUGAGUCGACCCCUAAGGCGAGGCCGAAAGGCGUAGUCGAUGGGAAACGGGUUAAUAUUCCCGUACUUGGUGUUACUGCGAAGGGGGGACGGAGAAGGCUAUGUUGGCCGGGCGACGGUUGUCCCGGUUUAAGCGUGUAGGUGUGUGUUCCAGGUAAAUCCGGUUCACUUUAACACUGAGGCGUGACGACGAGGCACUACGGUGCUGAAGCAACAAAUGCCCUGCUUCCAGGAAAAGCCUCUAAGCAUCAGGUAACAUCAAAUCGUACCCCAAACCGACACAGGUGGUCAGGUAGAGAAUACCAAGGCGCUUGAGAGAACUCGGGUGAAGGAACUAGGCAAAAUGGUGCCGUAACUUCGGGAGAAGGCACGCUGACACGUAGGUGAAGUGAUUUACUCACGGAGCUGAAGUCAGUCGAAGAUACCAGCUGGCUGCAACUGUUUAUUAAAAACACAGCACUGUGCAAACACGAAAGUGGACGUAUACGGUGUGACGCCUGCCCGGUGCCGGAAGGUUAAUUGAUGGGGUCAGCGCAAGCGAAGCUCCUGAUCGAAGCCCCGGUAAACGGCGGCCGUAACUAUAACGGUCCUAAGGUAGCGAAAUUCCUUGUCGGGUAAGUUCCGACCUGCACGAAUGGCGUAAUGAUGGCCAGGCUGUCUCCACCCGAGACUCAGUGAAAUUGAACUCGCUGUGAAGAUGCAGUGUACCCGCGGCAAGACGGAAAGACCCCGUGAACCUUUACUAUAGCUUGACACUGAACAUUGAGCCUUGAUGUGUAGGAUAGGUGGGAGGCUUUGAAGUGUGGACGCCAGUCUGCAUGGAGCCGACCUUGAAAUACCACCCUUUAAUGUUUGAUGUUCUAACGUGGACCCGUAAUCCGGGUUGCGGACAGUGUCUGGUGGGUAGUUUGACUGGGGCGGUCUCCUCCUAAAGAGUAACGGAGGAGCACGAAGGUUGGCUAAUCCUGGUCGGACAUCAGGAGGUUAGUGCAAUGGCAUAAGCCAGCUUGACUGCGAGCGUGACGGCGCGAGCAGGUGCGAAAGCAGGUCAUAGUGAUCCGGUGGUUCUGAAUGGAAGGGCCAUCGCUCAACGGAUAAAAGGUACUCCGGGGAUAACAGGCUGAUACCGCCCAAGAGUUCAUAUCGACGGCGGUGUUUGGCACCUCGAUGUCGGCUCAUCACAUCCUGGGGCUGAAGUAGGUCCCAAGGGUAUGGCUGUUCGCCAUUUAAAGUGGUACGCGAGCUGGGUUUAGAACGUCGUGAGACAGUUCGGUCCCUAUCUGCCGUGGGCGCUGGAGAACUGAGGGGGGCUGCUCCUAGUACGAGAGGACCGGAGUGGACGCAUCACUGGUGUUCGGGUUGUCAUGCCAAUGGCACUGCCCGGUAGCUAAAUGCGGAAGAGAUAAGUGCUGAAAGCAUCUAAGCACGAAACUUGCCCCGAGAUGAGUUCUCCCUGAGACUUAGAGUCUCCUGAAGGAACGUUGAAGACGACGACGUUGAUAGGCCGGGUGUGUAAGCGCAGCGAUGCGUUGAGCUAACCGGUACUAAUGAACCGUGAGGCUUAACCUU